rnacentral:rRNA from 1 species
AGGGCUUUGAUCCUGGCUCAGGAUGAACGCUAGCGGCAGGCCUAACACAUGCAAGUCGAACGGUAACAGGGGUAGCAAUACCCGCUGACGAGUGGCGCACGGGUGAGUAACGCGUAUGCAACCUGCCCUGUACAGGGGGAUAGCUCGGAGAAAUCCGGAUUAAUACCCCAUAAUGUUGAGAACAGGCAUCUGUUUUUAACUAAAGUUCCGGCGGUACAGGAUGGGCAUGCGUGCCAUUAGUUAGUUGGUGAGGUAACGGCUCACCAAGACUAUGAUGGCUAGGGGGUCUGAGAGGAUGGUCCCCCACACUGGUACUGAGACACGGACCAGACUCCUACGGGAGGCAGCAGUGAGGAAUAUUGGUCAAUGGACGCAAGUCUGAACCAGCCAUGCCGCGUGCAGGAUGACGGCCCUAUGGGUUGGUAAACUGCUUUGGUAUGGGAAGAAACCCCUGAUCGUGAUCAGGUCUGACGGUACUAUACGAAUAAGCAUC